rnacentral:lncRNA from 1 species
CACAAAAAGUAAUCCUUAACUUUUUUGGUUUUUUUUAUCAGAGUAAUCUUUAAAAUCUAUGUGUAUCUAAAUGGAAUAAAAUCUUACUCAAGUAAGAAAUAGUUUCAACAUCCUACAUGUAUCUUUCAUUAGCUGACUGUAAAUGACACAUCUGCCCAAGAAUAUCAAAAAUUCAAAUCUAAACAGGAAGUUCUAUGAGAGCAGGAUGGAGUUAUUUCACUACAAAGAAGUUUAUUUAUAUAGCUCUUUGUUUACUAUGUGCAGUUUAUGUUUAACAUGGAAGUUUAAGAGUGAUGAAAAGAAUACAAAUGGUAUAGCACCAUAUGUGUAUAUUAAGUAUGGCACACAUGAAUGAAUUGGGACCUUAUCAACGUAUUGUGUUGAAAGAAGACUUAACGAAUCCAGCAGUUCAAAAACAUGUUUUGCAGUGAGAUGAAUGGUGACAGUGGCUUUGUGGCAGUUAGUAAAAACUGUGGCAUUUUACAUUGAUGAUGGCUACCAUUUACAGAAAAUUUCUCAACCAAUAGUGACAUUCAAUUGAAAGUAAUAGCAUAUCUUACACUGACUAUACAUCAGAAUGUUGUUGAAA